rnacentral:rRNA from 1 species
GACGAACGCUGGCGGCGUGCCUAAUACAUGCAAGUAGAACGCUGAAGAGAGGAGCUUGCUCUUCUUGGAUGAGUUGCGAACGGGUGAGUAACGCGUAGGUAACCUGCCUUGUAGCGGGGGAUAACUAUUGGAAACGAUAGCUAAUACCGCAUAACAAUGGAUGACACAUGUCAUUUAUUUGAAAGGGGCAAUUGCUCCACUACAAGAUGGACCUGCGUUGUAUUAGCUAGUAGGUGAGGUAAUGGCUCACCUAGGCGACGAUACAUAGCCGACCUGAGAGGGUGAUCGGCCACACUGGGACUGAGACACGGCCCAGACUCCUACGGGAGGCAGCAGUAGGGAAUCUUCGGCAAUGGGGGCAACACUGACCGAGCAACGCCGCGUGAGUGAAGAAGGUUGUCGGAUCGUAAAGCUCUGUUGUAAGUCAAGAACGGGUGUGAGAGUGGAAAGUUCACACUGUGACGGUAGCUUACCAGAAAGGGACGGCUAACUACGUG